CUCUGCUUCUUCUGUAAAUAUAUCUAACACAAAGGGAGAGAACUCGGUGCGCAUUCAGACACACCAAAUAUUUACUUCGAGCAGCGAAGAACCACUACUCCACCCAAGAGCGUAUGAUAGAAAUCAUAGCGAGAUGCACGACGGCUACCCCAUCGAGAAGCUGCUCGGCGAGGAGCCAGAUCUGCUGCAACAGAUCUUCUUCCGUCUUGGUAGCCUCAACAACCUCGUCCGAGCAGCCGCAGUUUUUCAUCAUGGUACUGCGCCGUCAAGAAUCCAGCGUUCCUCAAAAUCUCAAAUCAUUCCAUGAGAGGGCUUUAAACGAGAUCCUGGCGCUACAUUAUGUGAGGCAGUGGAUGGGGACAAAGCUACAGAGGACUCUAUCGCCGUUAGGAGAUGAGAUCGACCAAUCCAGGAUGAUUCUUCUUUACGAAGUUUUGGGAUUAGCCGGGAACAUCGGGCAACUCCCUACAAAAUUCAAGAUUUGCCAGACUGAUUGCUGAGAGGUGGGCAAAAAAAACUUGGCAAGACCAUCUAUCAGCAUGGCCACAAUCAGCAAGUCCGAAGGGGGGCAUCUGCAAAGGACUUGCAAGGCGAACGGCAGUGAUUCGAUUAUCAAAAAAGUCACCAGAGACUCACAUUUUUUUCCUGACAAACUAUUUGCAGGUUAUGUAAUAUGAAUCUGAUGUAUUUUUUCCGUAUGCUUUAGAGUGCGUUUUGUAUCAUGGUACGGAUUUAUUUUCAUUAUUAGCUUUAGACUCGCUAAAGUACUAGUUUGUAAUGGUCAGUUCCCCCAGGGAGGAUUUUGGAACCAUGAUGGAUUGCAUGCGUAUUUUUCUUUCA